GACUACAAAAACAGGCAUUGGCUUCAUCACCAUGAUGCACGUCAGCAUGCGUCGUUGCUCCUGGUUUCCUUUGGUUCUCUUCGUGCUCACAAAAUCUCAUGACCAAUGUUGCCCUCCCUCUCCCGACGGUAGUCUCACCACAGAGAGGCGAGGCUAUGUGCCCAAGACCACACAGCUGAUGCGGCUUUGCAUGUGGAUCUGGGGGGCUGCCCACACCAUGCCCAACCCUCAGGCUCAGCCUCAGUCACAUAGACUGUCCACUGCCCGCCUCUACCGCCCAGGAUCCUGCUGCACCCUGCACGGUUCCCAUUGCCACUGGACCGAGAACCCUGGGGACAAAUGGAAGGCAGUAUGGGGGAUAGAGGAGAUGCUGGUACCAGCCGCAUUUGCAGCAUGACUGCUAUGCUGUGUCUCCCACAGAAGUCUUCCUCCUGUAGUCUCAGGGCUACUUCCUCCACAAACAGACAACAGGCCAGCUGGACUCAACCCACUCCCUUGAGCUACAGUUGUCUCGGAGAGUGCCCAGGGCACACUCACAUGACCCCUGUGGAUGCUGAAAUCUCAGGAUUCUGCAGGCUUUACAGGAACAUCAGUGUUUGCGAAGGACCUAGCGCUCCCCCCGUGUCUGAAGCUGUCUCCUAACUACUAGUGCUGCCCACGGUCCUGCCAAUGCCAUUGAACGAGCUGUUCCACUGGGGUAGCUGGGGAAUAACAAGAGAAAGCAGGGUUGCGCCCAGGCAGCCCACAUCCUCACAGCCCACACUGUUUCUGAUUUAUAAUGAGCUGCAUUGGAGGAUGUGGAAGAGGGAGGCCACUGGACCCCUCAUUCCCAAACCUAUUCUCAACUGCAGAUUUGACCUCUUACUCUGAACCCAAGCAGGCGCCACCUCCUGGGAGAUUCUAGUCAUGGCUUCCGGGAGUGGAGAAGGAAAAGCUGUGGGAUUCCUAAGAUCCCACACAGCCAGUUACUCAGGCACUCGUAAGGAUUUGCUCAGGGUAGGUGCAUGUCAGUAAGCAGCUUGGACCCUGCAGAAACUCAGGAUGCCCAUGUGCUGGGAGGUACACCUGCCACUGGGUCAUGUGCAGGGGCCAGAAGACAACUUCGUGGUUCUCUCCUGCCUGUGUAGGUCCCAGGGCUUGAACUCGGGCCAUUAUACUUUUGCAGCCAUUUUGCCAGCCCUACAGUACCCCACUUUAAAGUCUUCAUUAAACCUCUGCAAUCAAUCAAGGGGAUUUUGGUCUGGGGCAGUGACGUAUGAGGAGCCAGAAGAGGCCUUCAAGUGGUCCUGGAGACACACAGGUAGGAGGAAGGACCUCAGUUCCCCACAGUGGCUACUCACCUCCACUUCUUCAUGCAGGGCCAGUGGUCAGCCACACCUUCCAAGAUCACAGGCCUCCCAGGAACUAGAAAGUGCUUCCUGAAGUACUGCAGGGCUGGACAGCGAAGCCUGGGUACCACCCGCUCUAACACCACUUCGGGAGCUGAGUUGAAGUCAGGCUUUGCCUUCUGUUUAGAAUCCAAACAAAGCAAGAUGGCAACUAACUGUCUCCGGGAGCUGCCCCAGUGGCAGGCCGUCUUAGGUGUCGUGAACAGCAGCAGGCAUUUCUGUCUUGCUCUGAUCUGUGUGUGCACACGCGUGUGGGAAGGACAGCCUCGGGUGUUAUUAUCAUGCAUGCACUGUCCGCCUUACUGAAAGGGGGAUCCCCCCGGCCUGGGACUCAGUGAAUUCAGCUGGGCUGACUGGCUAGCGAGCCUCUGGGAUCCAUCUGUCCCCACCUCCCCAGCUCUGGGAUGACAAGUACACGUCACCAUGUUAAGUCUUUUACGUGGCUCUAAGAAUCAAACUCCAGUGCUCCAACUUGUGUGGUAAGCUCGUGACUGAGCUAUGUUGUGGUUAAUUUAAAGGAGCGGUCUAAUAAUGUUUAUUAUUAGCCCUGUAAUUAUCAUGAUGGUGUUAUCUAACCUGAUAUCAGAAAGACACAGACACCUGGUAGAUUUUAGACCAGCCUUAUUUCACCUGGGGCAUGACAGAUAUUACCUCCUAAGCUACCUUCACCUGCCAAGCCCCCAUCCCACGCCAUCUGCUCUAAUAAUUUCCGUUGGGCUACCUCCCAUCCAUAAUUCUAUAAAUACUUGCUAUUUUCUCAUCUGGGCCACUUCCUCCAUCCAUGCCGAUCCAGCCAUGUGCUCCUCUUCAUGCUAACCCAUCAAGGCUCUCUCUUCCUCUUCUGGUCCCUGUUUCCUUCUCUUUCUCAUGAUCCUCCUGUCUUCAGAGUCUGAGAACUUUGGCCACACCUACCCAAUUCUGUCCUGCCCAGCUUUAGGCCUUUUAAUCAACCAAUCAGGAAUAAUUUCCUACAUAAGGUUACAAAUGUCAUUUUUGAGGUAUGUGAGUGUCUGCUCAUAAAAGACAGCAGGCAGACCUUAGGGAACAAAUUAAUAAAUACAAAGCACCAGACCAUCCUGUUACAGAGCUAUCUCCCCAGUCCCAA